AGAGCUUCAGUAGUACAGCUAAAAUACCCAGGGUAGCAUUUUGAAUUGACGUAAGAAAAGUGACUGUUGUCCAGGAAGAUUCUGAUAGGUUUUGCAAGGGCCUGUAUUUGAAAAUUUCCAAUAUAUGCUUCCUGUUGUGAUUUUCAAAACCCUGAGUGCAUUUGCUCACAUUCAUAACCUGGCAACCCCUUUCUUUCUUCUUCUUCUUCUUCUUCCCGUUCCUUUCUCUCUGUUCUCUCCUCUGUUAGUAUGUAAAGCACCAUGUAUAUUCAUCAGGCUAUAUAAAUAAGUACAAGUUAUUACUGUUGUUAUUUAUUUCGACAGCAUUGUACAUGACAACAUUAUCAUUGCAUUAGAAUAGCACCACUGGCGCUACAGAGCACUUCAAUCAAAAUUAAUGUCAGCUUAACUGAGGUGUGUAGAGAGGUUUAUUUCAGUAAACAAAGGGACAGAUGUUUGUCAUAAUACUGGAACAUUUGUUCUGUUACAUAUAUUUUGCGAUAUUUAUUGGCAUGUGAAGUUGAAGACUGUCAGGUUCUAAUCCGUUCGUAAACAAGGGCUUUCAAACAACUAGUUGCCACAUUGCGGCUGGAAAGUAGUGUUGAGAAUUGUAGUGUUGGAACAGAUCCCAAGGGUCUUCUGGUUGAUUUCCCUGGCAAAUAGACAUUCCAUUGUGGUGGCCACAACGCAGGUUUAAGGUGCCAUUUGGAGCCUCGCUUAAAUACCUGCGUUUCUAACACGUGAUGUCACACCAGUCCAGCUGCAUGUUUUGGUAACUAUUUGCAUGCAGUAGGUGGUAACUUGGACACUUCUGGCUGUCCUCAGCUCAAAAACGUUAUUGUAGAGCUGGAAAAAGAUGAUCAAAAGUGAUGGAGCGGCUCUCAUGUGAGGAAAGGCCACAGCAUUUGGGCCUUUUUAGGCAAGUAAGAGGUGACACUUAAGGCGUUUGUGUCACAUGCGAUUCAUACCACAAAGUAUGAAGCAAUGGAUUUUCCCCCUGAUAGUAGCUCCUGGUGAUGAGGACUGUUCUUUUUGUAUUUCAGUACAGUUGUUUUUUUAAAAAAAUGUUCUAAGAUGUAAAUGGUAUUUGUGAAAUGCUUAGUUGGCCAAAGUGGCUGUAAAGGAUAUAAACUUAAUGGUACCAUCUCCUCCAGUGAUUGGCAGCAGUUCUUCAAGGUCCCAGACAGAGGCUUCCCAGGAGGUCCUUUUAACUGGAGAUACAAAGGAUUGAACCUGAGGCCUUUUACAUGCAACACUUUCCUUUUUAAUAUUGAUGUCCUUUCCGUAAGAGCUUUCUUUUCAUCUUUGCAACAUGACUGUCUUCUGGGAGCAGCUUCCAUUCAUGUCACAUUUCCUGGGUCUGCCAUUAACAGCUGUUGUAUGUAAACAAACCUUUUUGUGAAGUUCCCUGAAUUCUUCUUCUUCCUCUUCUUAAUUUUUGUGUGUGUUUGCUCUUCUGGGCUUCUGUAUUUGAUGGGUGGUCCCAUGCUUCUUGUGUUAUCCCAUCCUUUGACCUCCAGUCAUGCUGGCUGGGGCUGAUGGGAGUUGCAGUCCAAAACAACUGGAGGGCACCAGGUUGGUAAAGCUGAUUAACCCUCAGCUCUCAUUUAAAGGGCACUCCUGAAAGUGUCUUAUCACACAACAGAAAUCUAAAGCUGUUGGAUUUAAAUAAAUACCACCAACAAGCCAAGCAAAUCUUCAAUCUGGCAUACAGUAAUUCUCAACUAAAUAUCUCUAUUUCUCCUGCUAAUUAUGAGAAGCUUUUCAAAAUAUGCUUUCUAAUGCGCAGUAGCAAGCUUACUUUGCACCUCUGCUAAUCUUCCCAAGUUGUGGUUUGGCAAAAAGCAAGGAUUGGUAAGCUGAGUAAGACCUGCUUUAGGUAGCACAGUGGUGGUUAGAAAAUAAUCUGGAAAAUGUAAGUGGUUGUGACUGAGCUGGAUAAGCUAUAAUUCAUAUGUACAGGAUAAAGGCAUUUUCACACAUAAAGCUUAACUUGGUUUGGCUGAAUGGGAAUGUAAACACGGCAUUUCCUAGAAUGUACACUUGUUUUGGAAUGAACUUCGCUGCUUUAUGUCUUGUAUUAAGAAUGUUUACGAGUUCCAGGUGAAAAUGCAUUAUUGUCACUUGUGAAAAUUCCUCCUUGCUGCAAGAGGCAGGAAGCCUGCAGGAGGAAAGUUCAAAGUGAUACGAUUUUUGUACGGUAUAAGCGAGAGAAAAGUAACCUGUAGCGCUGUUCAGUAAGCCUGCGAUCAUUCGAAUUAAACAGCCACAUUUCUAGGACCAUUGUUUCAAUUAUAAAUAGCUCGUUUUCACAUUAGAAACCCAUAUUUUCUAUUUAAAGUGAACAAACAACAGGCUGAGAUCUUAAACACAUCCUUCACAUUACAGUGGUACCUCCGGUUACGAACUUAAUUCGUUCCGGAGGUCUGUUCUUAAACCAAAGCCAUUCUUAACAUGGGGCACGCUCUUGCUAAUGGGGCCUCCUGCUGCUGCCACACCGCCGCCACAUGACUUCUGCUUGCAUCCCGGGGUAAAGUUCACACCAGGAGCAUCUACUUCUGGGUUAGUGGAGCUUGUUACCUGAAGUGUUCGUAAGGAGGACGGUACGUAACCUGAGGUUCCACUGUCCUUGUGAAAAUGCCUACAGACAAGGUACGAAAUAAAAACAGACCGUUCUCACAGUUCAUGCUAAAAAUCUCGUUAGAGGUUGCUGAUGGUGGAUCAGAUGAAGAAAGCUGGAAUGUGCAUUUUGCUUUUUAACUUCAGACAUUGGGAAUGCAAAUAAUGUUUGCAUUUGAAAUAUCACCUGUGGAAAUGGUUGGCAUGGUAUUAUAUCUAAAGUGUGCAAAGUCCCACAAAACAUUCACUUCCUGAGAGAUGCAGGAAGUUCAGAGAGCCAAGCUUCAAAAACUCUCCAGGGAUUGUGUUGUUAAGACAGCAUGGCUAUGUUAAACCCAUUCACAAGAACCUCCCUUGUCUCACUUUGGAGACUCCAUUGUUUUAGACACAGAUGCUGAUUCUUGUAAGAGAGGAAACAAAACUCCUCAUAUUUUAUGUAAAGGAUUGUGCCUUUUAGGCAGGUAGAAGCCUUCGAGCUCAUUUACCUGUGGAGUUAACUCUGUAAGAAGGCAAGCGCUGUAAAGCUUGUUGAUUCCAUGGUUCGGGGCUUAGGCAGUGUUGACUUUUUACUGUAGCAAAAUCGCUCCUGUCAGAAGAUAGCGAAGUGAAUUGGAACAGUAUGGUUUCAGUCUUCUCCUGAAUAAUGAAGAGCUGGAGUGAGAGCCACACACUGCGUAUUAAUUAUUGUUGGGUAAACAUAAUGAAUAACUGCCAGCGAGUCAGCUCCUAUCUUUAGAUCAAGAUGAUAAAGGACCAACAGAUGAAGUCCCUGUAAAUACUUUGCCGUUUAUUGCCUGAAGGAUUUCUCAAUGGCAGGUUUGGUGGGCAGAACUCCCUCUUGCAAACCAGGGUCAGUUGAAUGCAGAAGGCUGAUGAAUAGAGCAGCUGUUGAUGUGUCUGCAUUGUCCUGCGAUGUCCUGAAAGAGAGGGGGAAGGCAAGCUCUUGCAUGGAUUCUUCAAAAGUUUAAAGAAAUAAAAGCAGUAAUGGUACACUUUAUUGUUAUAGGGUUGGCUUUGACUGCUGUGAAGGAGUCUGAGGUAUGUAUACCAGAGAUAGGGUCAAAAGGAUAGGAAGGACUGCUUAAAGCUCCUGAAAAAUCAAGGGAGAAGCAUGCCAGCCAUAUCUGUAUGGUCAGAAAAGUCCCUGGUGAAGUCAGUUCUGAAUGGUGAAGUCCAUUCUAGCAAAGAUUUCCUUUUCCUCUAGCUGAAGGCAGGGGAGGCUCAGUGUAUGUUUAAGGAACCAUGGUAGAUGUAUAUUGGGAACAAAGAUAAGGAAAAAAAGAAGCAGAGAGGGAGCUUAGUGCUCUGGAAGGCUAAAAGCAUCUCUCGGAAUGCCUAUCCCUGAGGAUCUGAUGAGCUAUUUGUAGAAGUGCUGUGCUCAUUGUCUCCACCUAUGCUCAGCAUGCAUAUUGGUAAAUUAACCCGAAUAUCACAAAAAUAUAACAUGCCUCCAGUGUGGUGUAGUGGUUAAGAGCGGUAGUCACGUAAUCUGGUGAACCAGGUUCGUGUCUCCGCUCCUCCACAUGCAGCUGCUGGGUGACCUUGGGCUAGUCACACUUCUCUGAAGUCUCUCAUCCCCACUCACCUCACAGAGUGUUUGUUGUCGGGGAGGAAGGGAAAGGAGAUUGUUAGCCGCUUUGAGACUCCUGAAGGGGAGUGAAAGGCGGGAUAUCAAAUCCAAACUCCUCCUCUUCUUCUUAUCUGCCAUUUGAAUGCUAAAUCAGGGCUACGGUCAUCAAGAUGCAGAUCCAAUGUAACAUUUCCUCAUUUGAAGUGGGCUUGCAAAUCAUAGUUUUGUGGGGACAUCAUAGUUUUGUGCAAAUCAUAGUUUUGUGGGGAUACAGCCAAAGCAUAGACCCCAUGCCCCUUACACACAUUCUUCGAAUGCCCGGAGAAGGAUACCCCCUUAGAGAAAUUUAUGCUAUGGAGAAAUCAGUUUGUCAGGGUGGGAUUAAUUGUUACACCCUCCCCACAAUUGUUGAAUUGAUUUCUUGUGCUUUGUAUUUUAGAAAUGCAAUACAGAUUUAUGCAAACAUUUUUGCAUUUGAAAAGCUUCUCAGUGAAAAUGUUUCUUAUUUGAAAUAAGGAUUAUUGUUUUUAGUUUGCCUAUGCCUGCAGUACCAUAUGCUAUUUCACAGGUCACUAAUUUGACACCUGCUAUGGGGGGGUUGAAUUCCAACACUGUGCUCAUCACCUUGUCAGGGCAACAGGAGUCAAAUCAUAACACAUCUCGCACCAUCCAUCAAUAAAGAAACCUUUGUGUCAGAAAUCAUUAUGUAAUGUUUGCCACAGUUGCUACAAGCUUUCUGAUUAUUCGAAUUGUAUUUUCUUACACGAAAAGAGAUCUAUUUGAGCAUAGGUGGGUGGGAAAGCAAAAUUAUAAUUCUGCUUAAUUUCGUUUGUUGGUGUGAAUAUGUAAAGAAAUCUGUCCUGACAGGGGAAAGAAAUUCUGACUCAACUGAGCUGAUAUGGUGCUGUUUUUGGCUCCAGAUAAUUUUUGUACAUUUUAUUCACAUACGAUAAAGCUAAUUUGUGUUAUCAUCAGGCAAUGUAUAAUUCUGAUGGAGACUGACAGAUUAUGUUAAUCAUGAAUUUGCAAGAAGGGUGAAGAAAGUGUGAGAUUUGAAAGGAAUGUAACAUGAAGUUCUGAUUAUUUGCCAUCAAUUCAUUUAGACUUUAAAUGUGUUUCCCAUGCAUAUCAAGCUUCUCCGUGCAAUCAUGUGGACAUUUGCUGUGGUGGGUUGAGGGAAGGUUUAGAUUUGAACAAGAUACUAAAAUUAACAAACCAUGUGCUGUCCUCUUUUGAUGUAGACUGCAGCCCUAGGCACACUUGCCUAUCUUGCAUUCAGACAUAAUGGCAUACCUUUGCUUACCUUUAUGUGUGUGAGCAGACAUGAACCUCCUUCCCUUUCCCUCUUGCAGUGUGUGUGUGGAGAAGAUUAGAAGCCUCUGACUCAGGCUUACAGAAAACCAUAGUAUGCCAUUUCACCCAAACCUGGCAAACUGCGGCUUACACCAAUUAUUAUUUACCCCAUAAAGAAGGAUCCCAAACCAUGUUUGAUCCAAAUUUUGGACUAUAGCCAUCGUUUUGAUAGUUAUUUAAGAUCUUUGUGAAAGCUGUUGCUUGGUUCAGAUCAGUAACAGAAGCUUCUGAUCUCCUCAUUUUAGGCUUGGCCAGGCAUGUUCAAAGUCUGUUUCGGGGGCUUAAUCCAGCCCGCCGGUCGGUUUAAUCCAGCCCCUGUGGCAGAUUUAUUUCCUGGGGUAAAAUCCUCAACAACGUCAAUUCUGAAAAAAGUCAACAACUUUGGUUGGGCCUUUGGUCGGCCCUCGGGCCCUUCACUUCAUCAAAUCUGGCCCUCUUUGAAAAUAGUUUGGACACCACUGGGCUUGCCAAGGGUGAAGGACAGGAAUGGAAACCUGAAACUGAGGAUCAAGGUUGCUUGUGGUUGUAAUGACAAAAGCGAGAAUUGUCAUUUAUGUUUCAAUACAAUUUCACAGUAAGGCUGAUGGGAUCCUUUAGCUUUAUUCCUCCUCUCCCUUCAUCCAUCCAGAUUGCAGUUGUAAUGAACCAUCCUAUAGCACCUUGCAGAAGCAAAAUCAGCCAAUCUGAAUUACCUGUUGAAGUAACCUCCAAUCAGAAUAGAUUAAUAUAGAAAGGAAACUCAGCUUUCAGUUCUAAGCUGCUGUUGUUUCGUGCCACAAUGAGUGUAUUUGAACAAAUGCUGUUGAUCCAGAACCAUUUACUUUGCUUGGCAUAACAAAAAGGAAAUUUCACAGCAUUAUUAUUGCCACCUAUUAGUUCCUUUCACUUCAAAAUUGUUUCUCCACAGUCAGUUUUAGAAGCUUUUGUGGGGAGGGGCAGAAUCUCUCUGCUCUUACCGAAAUUGGCUUUGUUUUGCCUCCCACCUCCACCCCUUGGGAUCAUUUGCAAAAUUGCGUAAGUUUUUACAACAGUAACUAAUACUGAAUUAAAGGAUUAGAUGCAUUUUGGGACUUCUCGAGGGCCUGGAUUUUCAGACAGUCAUUUGAUUCAUUUUUGGUGAACUGCAGUAUAAAUACUAGCAGCCAUCAUUUCAAUUAAAAUGUAGAUUUAAAAAGGCAAGGCAAGAGAGUUUCUUUUCAUUUCAUUAAUUUUAAGGACUCGUUUCUUAGAUCAGGAGAUAAAUGGGUUGCUAGAAUAAGUGUUCUUUUUACAACCCACAACUAAGUGCCCCCCCAUCUGCCUUUUAAUGAAAAUAGCUUUCAUGCUAUUUUAUUACCGUCUCCCUUUAUGAACCUUAUCAUUUGUUAAAUUGCUUCAUUUUAUCUUUUGGAUGGUUUUUGUCGUCAUUUUAUGAAUUAAAUUGAGAAAUUGGACAGAUAUCUCUGUGUGUAUGUUUGACCCUGCCUGCAUGAGUCUGGAAUUCGACCAUCUUGUUGGUUUGAUAUAACAUCUCUAUUAUAUCCUUUAUUUGAAACAUGCAUAGACUAGGAUCCCAGGAUAUACUUCAUAGAUUAUUAUUUAUUUAUUUAUUACAUUUAUAUACCACUUUUCCCUCCAAGGAGCUCCAGGGGCUGUACAUGGUUUUCCUUCCCCAUUUGGACUGUUUUUGAGGUUUCACCACAGUUCCUUAGGGCUUUUGUACACAUGCAAAUUCCUCGAGCUUGCCAAUUCCUUCCUCUUUUGCACGAGUGGCGCAAUUUUUGGCUACAUAAGCAAUGGUACUCAGAGGCUGAGUGUGGAAAACAGAGGGAAUGAGUUUGCCGUUCCUUUCUCCUCAAAUAAGUGGCAGCGUGGAAAAUUUAUUUACUCAAAAAAGCAUUUGUAUACCGCUUAAUAUUUCAAAAAUCUCAAGUCUUUAAAAAAACCUAUAUCAUU